rnacentral:rRNA from 1 species
GACGAACGCUGGCGGCGUGCUUAACACAUGCAAGUCGAACGGUAAGGCCCUUCGGGGUACACGAGUGGCGAACGGGUGAGUAACACGUGGUUGAUCUGCCAUGCACUUCGGGAUAAGCCUGGGAAACUGGGUCUAAUACCGGAUAGGACCACUGCCUGCAUCGGUGGGGGUGGAAAGCUUUUGCGGUGUGGGAUGGGCCCGCGGCCUAUCAGCUUGUUGGUGGGGUGACGGCCUACCAGGGCGACGACGGGUAGCCGGCCUGAGAGGGUGACCGGCCACACUGGGACUGAGAUACGGCCCAGGCUCCUACGGGAGGCAGCAGUGGGGAAUAUUGCACAAUGGGCGCAAGCCUGAUGCAGCGACGACGCGUGAGGGAUGACGGCCUUCGGGUUGUAAACCUCUUUCAGCACCGACGAAGCGCAAGUGACGGUAGGUGCAGAAGAAGGACCGGCCAACUACGUGCCAGCCGCCGCAGUAA